rnacentral:rRNA from 1 species
GACAGAGGUGCCGAGCGUUAGGCGGAAUCACUGGGCUUAAAGCGUGUGUAGGCGGACUUCUAAGUACCUUGUGAAAUCCCACGGCUCAACCGUGGAACUGCUUGGUAUACUGGUCGUCUUGAGCCACUUAGGGGCAGUCGGAACAGACGGUGGAGCGGUGAAAUGCGUAGAUAUCAUUUGGAACGCCAACGGUGAAAACAGCUCGCUGGGGGUGUGCUGACGCUGAGACACGAAAGCCAGGGGAGCGAACGGG